AUUAAUUGUAAAAUUGCCUCAAUCGGUUACCAUUUUUUUUUUUCUGCGUGUGGCAACGUCUUGAACUUAUGUUUCAUUUCCAUUUGAUUAUUGCCAAAAUUGAUUUUGAUAUUUUGCAUCGAUAGAAAAGUUAAUCGAAACCCUCAAAAUGGAAUGCUGCAAUGAAUUGAAAAGUUUUGGUACGGCAAUAUCUUACGAGCGCAAUGAUGCAGAUUCCCCAGUUUGAUAACUAGAUGAAUAGCUAACUGGGACCAGCCUUAUGGUGCAUCAAUCACCAGCCAUUUACACUUGUUCUCUAACCCAUUUGGGCCAUUAAAUAUUGCCGAGGAUUCCGCUAACUCAAAACAAUUUGUUUGAAAAAUGUACCAAAAAUACAUAUAAGCAUGAUGUUUUUUUUUUGUUCGUUGUGUUGCUGUUGUUGUUACUGUUGUUGUUGUUGUUGUUGUUGGCAACCAAAAAGUCAAGUAAUUAAUACUGA